rnacentral:lncRNA from 1 species
GGGAAGGACUCCUGUGUACGCAAAAAGAUGUCUUUAGUUUCAGAGAUUCAUGUUUAUUGUAAUACAAAAAGAACAUUUAAGAGGCUGUGAGAUUUGAGAUUCUCCUAUUGAUGCUUUGAUACAAUUCGUGUGCAUUUUACUCCCGAUGACAAUUUUGCUCACCCCCACCCCACCCUAGUAGAUAUGCCAACAAUACUGGCCAGUAGUAUUAACUGUGCAUUGCAAUUACAGCAUCCAGCCACAAUGCAUAGUUUAUUCAUGAUGCAUCAUUAUAAUUCAAGGAUUUUAUGAGCGAGGACAACAGACUGAGGGCCCCCUGCAAUGAAUGGCAGAGAAGAUUCUGUCAUACGACGUUACUUAUUUAUCUUUUUCUGUGGUAGGAUGAUUUCUUUUACUUAAACUAAGAUGGAAGUUAUCAUUGUUCUUAUUUAAAAGGUUGCCUGGUCUGAGUCCUGUGAGCAUACGUGCCUGUUGUGUGCUUUGGGGGUGGGGGACACACAGCCCCGAGUUCAGGCAUAGCCAUCAGUCUGCCAAGGGAACUGUAAAGAGAAGAAAACAUAGCAACAAAUGAUCUGCCUAUACUGUGUGGUUUCAAGGAUUCCUUAUGCACCCAGAAGCCUUCUGCCUUGAUCCUGUGCACCCCGCAGACCUGCAGCUGCAGAGGCUUUUAGAACAGCCUGUCUUGAAGCCAGUGAGACUUGAAGACUGUGAAAACAGAAAUGGACGUCAGUUUGUAGGUUGGGACCUCACUGGGUGCUGUGGCUGGAUGGCACGUGGAGCAUCCUGAGCUGAACGUGGAAUCUAUCCAACUACUGGAAAGGAGUUAUGACUUUCUUCACUUCUCCUGAAGCACAGACAGUCGGGGCCAUCCGAGGUAAGGAUGUGCCCACUUCCUCCAGUCUUCCUCCAUUAACUGUUCCAACAUAAUCCUUCUCUUCUGCACGUAACAGAGUAAUUGAACAGUGGAUUACUGAAUACUGACAACUGCUGCAUGAAAGUAUAAAUGGGUAUACAGUAG